rnacentral:rRNA from 1 species
GGCGGCGUGCCUAAUACAUGCAAGUCGAACGAGUUCUGAUUAUUGAAAGGUGCUUGCAUCUUGAUUUAAUUUUGAACGAGUGGCGGACGGGUGAGUAACACGUGGGUAACCUGCCCUUAAGUGGGGGAUAACAUUUGGAAACAGAUGCUAAUACCGCAUAAAUCCAAGAACCGCAUGGUUCUUGGCUGAAAGAUGGCGUAAGCUAUCGCUUUUGGAUGGACCCGCGGCGUAUUAGCUAGUUGGUGAGGUAACGGCUCACCAAGGCAAUGAUACGUAGCCGAACUGAGAGGUUGAUCGGCCACAUUGGGACUGAGACACGGCCCAAACUCCUACGGGAGGCAGCAGUAGGGAAUCUUCCACAAUGGACGCAAGUCUGAUGGAGCAACGCCGCGUGAGUGAAGAAGGCUUUCGGGUCGUAAAACUCUGUUGUUGGAGAAGAAUGGUCGGCAGAGUAACUGUUGUCGGCGUGACGGUAUCCAACCAGAAAGCCACGGCUAACUACGUGCCAGCAGCCGCGGUAAUACGUAGGUGGCAAGCGUUAUCCGGAUUUAUUGGGCGUAAAGCGAGCGCAGGCGGUUUUUUAAGUCUGAUGUGAAAGCCCUCGGCUUAACCGAGGAAGUGCAUCGGAAACUGGGAAACUUGAGUGCAGAAGAGGACAGUGGAACUCCAUGUGUAGCGGUGAAAUGCGUAGAUAUAUGGAAGAACACCAGUGGCGAAGGCGGCUGUCUGGUCUGUAACUGACGCUGAGGCUCGAAAGCAUGGGUAGCGAACAGGAUUAGAUACCCUGGUAGUCCAUGCCGUAAACGAUGAAUGCUAGGUGUUGGAGGGUUUCCGCCCUUCAGUGCCGCAGCUAACGCAUUAAGCAUUCCGCCUGGGGAGUACGACCGCAAGGUUGAAACUCAAAGGAAUUGACGGGGGCCCGCACAAGCGGUGGAGCAUGUGGUUUAAUUCGAAGCAACGCGAAGAACCUUACCAGGUCUUGACAUCUUUUGAUCACCUGAGAGAUCAGGUUUCCCCUUCGGGGGCAAAAUGACAGGUGGUGCAUGGUUGUCGUCAGCUCGUGUCGUGAGAUGUUGGGUUAAGUCCCGCAACGAGCGCAACCCUUAUGACUAGUUGCCAGCAUUUAGUUGGGCACUCUAGUAAGACUGCCGGUGACAAACCGGAGGAAGGUGGGGAUGACGUCAAAUCAUCAUGCCCCUUAUGACCUGGGCUACACACGUGCUACAAUGGAUGGUACAACGAGUUGCGAGACCGCGAGGUCAAGCUAAUCUCUUAAAGCCAUUCUCAGUUCGGACUGUAGGCUGCAACUCGCCUACACGAAGUCGGAAUCGCUAGUAAUCGCGGAUCAGCACGCCGCGGUGAAUACGUUCCCGGGCCUUGUACACACCGCCCGUCACACCAUGAGAGUUUGUAACACCCGAAGCCGGUGGCGUAACCCUUUUAGGGAGCGAGCCGUCUAAGGUGGGACAAAUGAUUAGGGUGAAGUCU